rfam:Schistosoma margrebowiei strain Zambia genome assembly, scaffold: SMRZ_scaffold0000006
AGCUUUUCGAAUCCGUGCUGAGAUUUCUUCAGACACCAACCCAUUAGGGCUGAUCAAAUUUCCAAGAUAGGUGAAGUU